UUCAUCUAUGUGACACUCCUCUUGUUUUAUAUACAUUCAUACCAGACUCUUUCCAGCACUCUCACAUAUAACGUGAUCAAACAUGUUCACAUUUCUCUUCACUGUUACUGUCUCACUGCUCUGUGCUGCAGGUCUUGUUGAGGGGAGUGAAGUCAAUCAGACACCCACCAUACUCUGGGAACUGAAAGACAGUGAUGCUCAGAUUAAUUGCAGUCACACUAAGGGAGCUACCUACAACCAGAUGUACUGGUACAGACAGCUUCCAGGAGAGGGAAUGAAGCUGGUAGUUUACACAAGUAGUUACAGCGAUCCAGAAUAUGGAGACUUCAGUAAAGACAAAUAUCCAACUGUUAAGGCUGUGGCUGAGAGUGGAUCUUUCACAGUGAAGAAGUUGGAGGCAGGAGACAGUGGAAUGUACUUCUGUGCUGUGAGUCAACACAGUGAUACAGACAACAAGUACAGCUGCACAAAAACCCCAGUAUUUCAACAGGAUGUAACAUAAUAUGUAAAGAGAUGGUUUCAUCACAUACUGUAGGGGGACCUCUAACUCUAGUUGUUCUAAUGUCUGAUGGUCUCAUCACAUACUGUAGGGGGACCUCUAACUCUAGGUCUUCUAAUGUCUGAUGGUCUCAUCACAUACUGU